rnacentral:rRNA from 1 species
UACGGAGGUGGCAAGCGUUGUUCGGAAUUACUGGGCGUAAAGGGCGCGUAGGCGGCGCGGCAAGUCAGGUGUGAAAGCCCCGGGCUUAACUCCGAAACUGCAUUCGAUACUGCCGUGCUUGAGGACUGGAGAGGAGACUGGAAUUUACGGUGUAGCGGUGAAAUGCGUAGAUAUCGUAAGGAAGACCAGUGGCGAAGGCGGGUCUCUGGACAGUUCCUGACGCUGAGGCACGAAGGCCAGGGGAGCAAACGGG